rnacentral:lncRNA from 1 species
UGUAACAGAUUAUCUGCCUCUUGGCCUAUAAAACCCAGAGCCAUGUUGCUUCUCGCAGAAAUAGAUAUGCCCCGGUGCCCUUCGUCUGUAGGCACCAUGCGCCUCGCUUCGGACGAAGAUGCGGAGAUGGGAGAUCGGGCUUGUCUAGUGCUUGUGUAGUGCUCGUCACAAUGCGCCGUGCACAACCAGCUAGGGAAAUUUUGGGCGCUGCGGGUGAACUGCACUCAACGAUAAACGGCUGGUCGCUAGGAUUCGUCCUCGCUGCGCAGGCUCCAUCGACAAGCCAUCGCCCAGCUCGGUCGGAGGGAGGUGGAAGAAGGUCCGUGCACCGUUCAUUCCGUGAUCGACGAUAACGAUUAGAAGAUUAUACCCCCCCCUUCGUUGUUGUGAUCUCGACCCUUGAUCUUAGAUCGUAGGGUUCUGGGAGGCUCAACAUGUUCGAACAUCUGUGGCCACUGGAUUGUGGGUGCAUGAAUAGGAUUAGAUCCUCAGGGUAGCGUUUCUUUGUCCAAUCUGAUCCACUAAUUGAGUAAUGGAUGACAUGGAUUAGGUCGCGCAUACCUUCGCGAGAUUUAAACCAGGCCAUUGAAUCGGAUCGGACGGCUGAGAAUUAUCAAUAACCCUUCGGUCAACCCUUAUUGCAAAAGAGACCCUGAACUUUUUAUGAAUCAACCCACCAUCCACAUUAGUUAUAAAGUAAUUGGAUCGAGGUCCAGAAAUUUAUGAUUUUUCCCGUGUUCUUUCAGAAUUUUAGACCCGCAGUCCAGGGAUGAAAUAAAUUAAGUAAAUUAAUAUAGAAAAUGAUUUCUAGUAUAAAAUAAUUCCAAAAACUUGUUUAAUUCAUAUUUAAUUCAUCUUAACUCAUUUUUUAUCCAUUCUAGUUGCAUUAAAUUCAUAUUAAUAUUGUUUAUCCCCUGGUAACUUUAUUUUGUCAUGUAACAUAAAUUAAAAUUAUGCACUUAAUUUCUUUUGUACCCAACACUUAAGUCUUCAGAAAAUCAUAACUCGUUAACUGUAACUCUGAAUUUAGUGGUUCUCGAACCUAGGAUCUAGUUGCGAAGCGUAGAUCAUUAUUAUUUGAUAAGUUCUUAUGUUUGGUGUGAUGUUAAUUUUGCCUAUACCAUGUUUGUUUGUAUUGCUACGAGUAGCAGCGAGGUUACGAGACACUUGAAGACCAAGUUGGUACCUAGGAAUCUCGAGUCUAAGGCAAGUUGUGCCCUUAUCACUCUUCUUUACCUAAUAAUGUUCCUGUUAAUCACUGUGACAUGCUCAGGUUUAUUUGAUGGGACCUAAUUGGUUUCCCUAGCAUUGUUUAUCCCCCACCUUGCAAACAGAUGAACUAUUGGGUAGAUUUGCUAUUGCUCUACCUGGUUUUGGGAAAUUAAUGUUGUAUUAUGAUCAUGUUCCAAUUAUGUUGUUGUUUUAUUAUUGUUCAUGAUAAGAUAAUCAUGUUAAUUGGAACAUGGAGAACCACCCGGGAAUACAGUGCUACCACAAGGGUGGAAUGGGACGCACUUGGCCAAGUAAUUAGCAAAGCUAGGGAGAGAUUACCUUACCUGAAAGGGGCAAGCAGGGAUGCAUCGCUGCAGAGUAUAGGGAGGUUCUCAGGUCGAACUACUGCCAUGGCAGUUUGGACGAGGGAUUUCUAUGCUUCCUUCGUCCUGAAACCUUGGUGGGAAUUCUCGAACUAGUGGAACUUUGGAAAGGCCUUGUUGUGCUACCAUGCCUCGCUUCCUCGGUAGAGGUGUAUGGGGUCCGAUCAACCCCGUGCAAAUGGAUAACACGACUUGUGGGUAAAGAUGUGCAACCUCUACAGAGUGUAAAACUGGUAUAUCAGCUGUGCUCAUGGUCAUGAGCAGCUCGGACACUCACAUGAUUAACUUAUGGAAUUAAACUCAAUUUAUUAUACGCAUUGCAUUGUGGGUGUUAUUAUCAAUUGUGAUCUCUUAUUUAAUUGGGUUGGUAUCUACUUAUACCUAGUAACUGCUAAUAAAAUUUUGACCAACCCUAAAAGCAAUGCUCAACUUUAACCAUCUCCUUUGGUGAGCCUUACACUUCACAUGAGUUCCCACCUUUGGUGAGUUCAUGCACAUUAUUCCCCACAACUUGUUGAGCGAUCAACGUAUGUGAGCUCACCCUUGUUGUACUCACAUCCCCCAGGUCAAGAGCAGGUACCACAGGAUGAGGCGCAUGAAGGAUGUUGCGAUGAGUUCGUGAGAGGUCUAGGUCGUCCUCUUCCAGUCAACUUUGGGUUGCUGGAUCGUUGUCUUUGUAUGAUGUAGUCAUUUAUCUAUUUUGUAUAGAACUCCAUUAUAUAUUAAUGAUGUGGCAUUCGUUUCUGUACCAUGAGUCAUCAUAUGUGUGAGACUUGAUCCUAGCACACAUGUGAAUUUACGCCCGGGUUUGGCCCCUGGAAUCUGGAGAAGUGGUAUCAUUGGAAUGUUGACUGUACGACGAAACCUAGAUAGAACUAGACAACCAUUGCCUACUUACCUUUUUACUAUGAUUCUUUCUAAACUUUUCUUAAUCUUUUCUCAUCUAUUGCUCCUUUACUCUGAUUAUUCUUACCUUUUCACUUCUAAAGACCAUAUGAAUUUCACACCUGGAAUCCUAUACCCAAACAAUUCUUUAGGAAUAGGAGACAUAAUCUUAGGAACAAAAACAAAACUAUUUUUGUAAGUAUCCAUCCGCUUGAAUGUUUGUUCUUAUGAUAACUGUUUGAUU